rnacentral:tRNA from 1 species
CAGAGCUUAGUGCUCGUGUUAAGCGUCCACUCUUAUCGGUUGUUUGAUAUAGCUGGGAUCGGUUGUGGGCUUGGGUAGAGGGACUCCUCCCUGUGUCCAUGACUUCUGACUACUGAUCCGAGAAGGUUUUGGGUCUGUAGCUCAGUCGGUUAGAGCACCGUCUUGAUAAGGCGGGGGUCGUUGGUUCGAAUCCAACCAGACCCACCAAGUAUUCGCAGGUAGAGAUGCCGUGGAUAUGGGGGUGUAGCUCAGCUGGGAGAGCGCCUGCUUUGCAAGCAGGAUGUCAUCGGUUCGAUCCCGUUCACCUCCACCAAGACCUGUGCCUGGUGGGAUGUAGAGGCUAACUCAUAGUGUCGUGCGGAUAAUAUCUGCCCGGUCUUAUGAGUUGGGUUUUACUCAACAGCUAUAUUCGUUCUUUAACAAUCUGGAAGAAGCACAACGAAAUGUGCUCAUCGAGUAAUCAGCUUGCUGAUGAAGAUGGGUACGGGUUGUGAUUGCAUUAAUUUUGUUCCAAGUUCUCAAGACUGGGGUGAAUAACCUCAGACUGCUUUGAAACUUAUGAACGGCACAAACGCUAAUACUCAGGUCCUAUAGCCUACAGCGUUAUAG